rnacentral:rRNA from 1 species
AUUGAACGCUGGCGGCAGGCCUAACACAUGCAAGUCGAACGGUAACAGGAAACAGCUUGCUGUUUCGCUGACGAGUGGCGGACGGGUGAGUAAUGUCUGGGAAACUGCCUGAUGGAGGGGGGUAACUACUGGAAACGGUAGCUAAUACCGCAUAACGUCGCAAGACCAAAGAGGGGGACCCUCGGGCCUCUUGCCAUCGGAUGUGCCCAGAUGGGAUUAGCUUGUUGGUGGGGUAACGGCUCACCAAGGCGACGAUCCCUAGCUGGUCUGAGAGGAUGACCAGCCACACUGGAACUGAGACACGGUCCAGACUCCUACGGGAGGCAGCAGUGGGGAAUAUUGCACAAUGGGCGCAAGCCUGAUGCAGCCAUGCCGCGUGUAUGAAGAAGGCCUUCGGGUUGUAAAGUACUUUCAGCGGGGAGGAAGGGAGUAAAGUUAAUACCUUUGCUCAUUGACGUUACCCGCAGAAGAAGCACCGGCUAACUCCGUG